rnacentral:lncRNA from 1 species
CUUUCAUUCACUUUGAAAUUACAGGGCUUUGUUCUUGAUUCUUUGACGAGGGAUAGUUCCCGCUUGGGAUCCAAUCUUUAUCAAAGACAACGGAGGACAAUGGAGUGAUGGAUGUCUGUCAGCUUUGGCAAUACGGGAUAUUAGUGCGGUUCAAUUAGAAAGCUGUGCUCUAUAUAGUUAGAGCUCAGUUAUUUGAUUGAGCCGUGCCAAUAUCACGUAUGUAUACUACUGCUGAUGCUCACGGUUCCCUAUCACUCUCUUCUUCUCCAUUCAGUCCAGAACAAGGUAUAUUAUUGAUUUACUGAUUGUUUUACAUGAAAAAUGGGACCUUAUAUUAGUUGAAGCAUACCACUUUCCAUGUAGGCUAGAUUCUCUCUAGUCUUAGUGAAAUAUUUACUAGCAUGUUUGGCUAAGUGUAAAAAUGAGAAAAAAAGUUAUUUUAGGUAACAUUUUGUUUCUAAAUAUGCUUGAAUAGUUUUCACCAAGCCAAUCACAUAUGCUUCUUGAUUAAUAAUAAAAGUUAAUUUUGUUCGUGGCAUCUACUUGAACCUUUUUCUUAAAAAAUGAUCUAUUAUCAAAAUAACUCUUACUUUCGUGUUAAGCAACUCAGUAAAAUUUAUUUAUUUUACAGCUUAUUUACAUAAGGUAACACUUUUAAGCUUAGCCGAACAUGUUCUAAAGCUAGAGCUCAUACAAAUAACAUCUCACAAUCAGAGGAAUCACAGAGAAAAAGAACAUCUUAUGAUCAGCAGAGGAAUCACAGAGAAAAAGAACAUCUUAUGAUCAGAUCAGAUGGCUUAUAAAGAAAAAGAACAUCUUAUGAUAAGAUCAGAUGACAUAUUAGAGUCACCACACAGACGGUUUAGGUAAUUUUCUUUCAUCCGAUGCCAACCCUGUUCUCAAAACAUUUGGAGUCAGCUACAUGAAUAAUUUUCUUUCCAUUGUUAAAUCCCAGAUGAUAUAUAAUCAUUACAGUUUAACCUUUUACAUAUUUCAAAAAUUUUAUUAUAAAUAUGCUUUUCUCUAUUAAUUUUUGUCCUAAUUUUAUAGUGCAGCUCCUAGAAUCUUUCAGGCUCUUGUACACAACAUAAUGAUAUUAAUUCUUUUAUUAAUGUUACUAGUAAAAAACACAUGAAACAAUUGACACAAAAGUCUGUAAUAUUUGC